rnacentral:rRNA from 1 species
UAGGGAAUAUUGGACAAUGGGCGAAAGCCUGAUCCAGCCAUGCCGCGUGAGUGACGAAGGUCUUCGGAUUGUAAAGCUCUUUUCUGAGGGAAGAACAUCCCGGGGAGGAAAUGCCCCGGGCCUGACGGUACCUCAGGAAUAAGGAAUGGCUAACUCCGUGCCAGCAGCCGCGGUAAUACGGAGGUUCCUAGCGUUGUUCGGAAUUACUGGGCGUAAAGGGAGCGCAGGCGGACAAGUCAGUGGAAAGUGGAAGCCCGGGGCUCAACCCCGGAAAGCCUUUCCAUACUGCUUGUCUUGAGUAUGUGAGAGGAAAGCGGAAUUCAGGGUGUAGCGGUGAAAUGCUUAGAUAUCCUGAGGAACACCAAUGGCGAAAGCAGCUUUCUGGCACGAAACUGACGCUGAGGCUCGAAAGCGUGGGGAGCGAACGGGAUUAGAUACCCCCGUAGUCC